AUGAAUUCACAAAAGAAUUUCAAUGCUUUGCUUGAAGAAAAAUUGCUUAAAGUUGAUGAGUUGGCUAGGAACGUGGAUAGAAUUUCUCUUGAUGUUGAUUAUUUAAAACUUAGAUCUAUUAGACCUAAGCAUGAUAUCAAUGAUUCUCUCAAAGCCAUGAGAACUUCCAUUGAUGAGUGCAAAGAAAGAACCGCUAGGAUGCGUGCUAAAAAGGAUUGCUUUGUAAAAGCGUGUUCAUCUAGUUUUCAUGAUAAUAAUGAUGACGAUCUAAAAGUGAUAGACGUGUCUCCUAUUAAAUCUUUGUUUUGCAAUAUGAAUCUUGAUAAUAAUGGGACUGGAGAUGAGUCAACUUUAGUUAAAAGGCGUCCCAAUGAUUCGGAGUUUUUAGAUCCUGAUGCAAAAAUUGGUAAAAGUGGGAUUGACGAGGUCAAAACUUUAGAUAGCAAUGAACCCACUAUUUUGGAUUUCAAGGAAUUUAAUUAUGAUAAUUGUUCUUUAAUAGAUUGUAUUUCCAUGUUGCAAUCCGUGCUAAAUUCUCCUCAUGCUUAUAGUCAAAAUAAAGUUUUUACCAAACAUAUCGUUGAUGCUUUAAUGCAAUCUUAUGAAGAAAAGCUUGAAUUAGAAGUUUCUAUCCCUAAAAAACUUUAUGAUGAGUGGGAACCUACUAUUAAAAUUAAAGAUCAUGAAUGCUAUGCUUUGUGUGAUUUGGGUGCUAGUGUUUCCACGAUCCCAAAAACUUUGUGCGAUGUGUUAGGUUUCCGUGAAUUUGAUGAUUGUUCCUUAAACUUGCAUCUUGCGGAUUCCACCAUUAAGAAAGCUAUGGAAAGAAUUAAUGAUGUCCUUAUUGUUGCAAAUAGGAAUUAUGUGCCCGUAGAUUUCAUUGUUCUUGAUAUAGAUUGCAAUCCUUGA
rnacentral:rRNA from 1 species